rnacentral:rRNA from 1 species
GUCUAUGGCCAUACCAACCUGAAACUGCCCGAUCUCAUCUGAUCUCAGAAGCUAAGCAGGGUUGGGCCUGUUAGUACUUGGAUGGGAUAAUUCAUCUGCUCCUGUUAAGUCACUGGACUGGACU